rnacentral:rRNA from 1 species
UACAGAGGGGGCAAGCGUUGUUCGGAAUUACUGGGCGUAAAGGGCGCGUAGGCGGCCCGCUAAGUCGAACGUGAAAUCCCCGAGCUCAACUCGGGAACUGCGUCCGAUACUGGUGGGCUUGAAUCCGGGAGAGGGAUGCGGAAUUCCAGGUGUAGCGGUGAAAUGCGUAGAUAUCGGGAGGAACACCAGUGGCGAAGGCGGUUGCCUGGAGCUUUGCUGACGCUGAUGCGCGAAAGCGUGGGGAGCGAUCCGG